GUUGUGUGCUGCCUGUGACACCGUGAUCUGGGGAGGGAUAACGCAAGAGACGUAUAAGCAAGGAGGACGCUAGCUGGGCGGGACGGCAGUACAAGGAUGACGAGGCGGUGGCGGAGUGGUUAGCGUGUCGACCUGGUGAUCCCGUGGUCCCAGGUUCGAGUCCCGCCAUACUAGGACGCUGACAAGGCUCUAUACAUGUUGUUCUGAUCAUCUCGUAACUCUUGACUUCAGUAAGAGUCAUACAUCACGGGAGACGAAGGAGGGGCGUUGCUGCACUCACCCGCCCACACGGUUAACCCAGACAAGCUUAUGAUAAACAGAGCGAAAUACAAGGACACACUCUGCUUCUGCCUCUACAAAGGGUUACAAAAAAGCCAGCCAAGAGGUCGAUGUCAGUAUAGGAGGAACCUCGCGAACUACAUCCAGAGCUUUUGAGACCAGCCUGCACCCUUGACUGAUGUGACGAUGCCGUGUGGGAUAAUUAUGGAGACUGGUGGAAGAAGAGAAGUGUGACAAAUAUUGAAUAGAAGAGAAUGUGCAAGGUGGUGGUGAUGGCUGCCUCCUCCUCCUCCUCAUCUUCGUCCUCGUCCUCCUCCUCCUCCUCCUCCUCCUCCUCCUUCUCCUCCAAUCAUCGCUGGAUCUGCCUUCUCCUCCACGCUUCUGAAUGAUAUCUUCAAUUACCUGUACUUCCACGUGAUAAGG